GAUGAACGCUGGCGGCGUGCCUAAUACAUGCAAGUCGAGCGAACGGACGAGAAGCUUGCUUCUCUGAUGUUAGCGGCGGACGGGUGAGUAACACGUGGAUAACCUACCCAUAAGACUGGGAUAACUUCGGGAAACCGGAGCUAAUACCGGAUAAUAUUUUGAACCGCAUGGUUCAAAAGUGAAAGACGGUCUUGCUGUCACUUAUAGAUGGAUCCGCGCUGCAUUAGCUAGUUGGUAAGGUAACGGCUUACCAAGGCAACGAUGCAUAGCCGACCUGAGAGGGUGAUCGGCCACACUGGAACUGAGACACGGUCCAGACUCCUACGGGAGGCAGCAGUAGGGAAUCUUCCGCAAUGGGCGAAAGCCUGACGGAACAACGCCGCGUGAGUGAUGAAGGUCUUCGGAUCGUAAAACUCUGUUAUUAGGGAAGAACAUAUGUGUAAGUAACUGUGCACAUCUUGACGGUACCUAAUCAGAAAGCCACGGCUAACUACGUG
rnacentral:rRNA from 1 species